GGUGAGUAACACGUGGGCAAUCUGCCCUGCACUCUGGGACAAGCCCUGGAAACGGGGUCUAAUACCGGAUACUGAUCCUCGCAGGCAUCUGCGAGGUUCGAAAGCUCCGGCGGUGCAGGAUGAGCCCGCGGCCUAUCAGCUAGUUGGUGAGGUAACGGCUCACCAAGCGACGACGGGUAGCCGGCCUGAGAGGGCGACCGGCCACACUGGGACUGAGACACGGCCCAGACUCCUACGGGAGGCAGCAGUGGGGAAUAUUGCACAAUGGGCGAAAGCCUGAUGCAGCGACGCCGCGUGAGGGAUGACGGCCUUCGGGUUGUAAACCUCUUUCAGCAGGGAAGAAGCGAAAGUGACGGUACCUGCAGAAGAAGCGCCGGCUAACUACGUGCCAGCAGCCGCGGUAAUACGUAGGGCGCAAGCGUUGUCCGGAAUUAUUGGGCGUAAAGAGCUCGUAGGCGGCUUGUCACGUCGGUUGUGAAAGCCCGGGGCUUAACCCCGGGCUGCAGUCGAUACGGGCAGGCUAGAGUUCGGUAGGGGAGAUCGGAAUUCCUGGUGUAGCGGUGAAAUGCGCAGAUAUCAGGAGGAACACCGGUGGCGAAGGCGGAUCUCUGGGCCGAUACUGACGCUGAGGAGCGAAAGCGUGGGGAGCGAACAGGAUUAGAUACCCUGGUAGUCCACGCCGUAAACGGUGGGCACUAGGUGUGGGCAACAUUCCACGUUGUCCGUGCCGCAGCUAACGCAUUAAGUGCCCCGCCUGGGGAGUACGGCCGCAAGGCUAAAACUCAAGGAAUUGACGGGGGCCCGCACAAGCGCGGAGCAUGUGCUUAUUCGACGCAAC
rnacentral:rRNA from 1 species